UUCAGUUUGUCCAUAUUCUUAGACAUGGAGCACUAUGUUGGGAUAAUUGUAGGACUCAUAGUGGCGAAAAUCAUCUUCUGGACGAUCUAUAUAUGCAUUCGGGUAUCAAGAUCUCGGGCCAACAAUGACCGCGUGGUGAUUGUAGAACACGAGUACCCGCCGGACAGGUCUACACCACAAACGCCACGUCAGUUCGACCAGCGUCCCCCACCCGCGUAUGAACAGACCUGCAAGCCAGGCCCGUGGGUCAGCCAACCCAGAACAGCGCGGCCAGUAUAGUCCGCGUGGCAGCAUUCUCAACUACACUGAAACCAUGACAACGUAUGCAUAAUAUAAGAUCUAGCAGCGUAGAUUGAGAUCAUAAUAUUUUUAUUUUACUACAAAAUAUAAUGAAUUAUAGACAUGUGUCCAUCCUGUUUCUGGUAAAUAUUUUUUAUUAAACCAGUAGGUAUUCUAGCCGCUUCUUGUUGUAUUUGUUCAUGCUGAGAGGAAUCCUUUUGAAUCUGAUCAGUUAUCAUUUAUUUCAUGUGCAUAUUCUAUGACAGCCUCUGUGUUACGCCAGCACAGCAUACAGACUGCCAGACUGAAUAUAAGAUUAUUAUAAACAGUUAUCACAUACUUCAGAUGCAUAAGACCGCCUGUGUGUAGCGCCAGCGCAGCAUACAGAAGGAACGAGGCGGAUUGUAAGAUUUUUAAUAACGGCAUAUGUUCAUUAAGAAACAACAAAUUGGUUUGAAGCUUAUUCAAAUUCUAUUAUUGUAAAUUGGAUACUACAUUUUUGCUUUUGUUUAUCACUGUUGUGAAAGUGAUUCCGUCUUAAGCUUGUUACACAAAACUCCAUCCUGCCUUUAGGUUUCUCUUCAGGCCUACAGGUUCCUGGGCCAUCUGACUGGGAUCUGCAUCACGUAGCAUACCACCAUGUAACGUGGGCGCUUGUCACGCUGUAAUUCCUUGGUUAAAGUUAUUUAUAGUUCAGUCUUAUACUAUUAUUGACGAUUUAUUAUCAGUAUUUUUAUGGUGGUUGCUGUUACGAAAACCCUGACUUUGGAGACCGAAAUCCAUGGAAUGUUAACAUUUAUUUAUAUUUUUGGUCAUUUACAAACAUAAAUGGAGACAACUAGUCCCAGGGUUUACACACAGGAAAGAAUGUUGGUUCCUUUCAAAUAAAAACAUGAAGCGCCUUGAAUUCCUAUAUGCCUAUAUUGUAUCUUACAAUCGAAUCGCAAUGUCCCAGUAACUGUUAUACACAGUGUCCAAUGGUAGUAACACUGUCAAGCUGCUUUGCAUACAACUUCCUGCUUGCAAGCAUUUGUGUGUAUUUUAUUUCAUGUCGUCUAUGAGCUUCUUUACCGUAAGACAUUUAUAGCAAGCUUGUCCGCACCUCUAUAUUUUAAAGGGCAGUCUUAUUAAAGUAAUAUUCCGAGACUAUGUAAAUCACGUAUCUAUAUUUCGUCUUAAUUGUUAAGAUUUAGACGUAAGAUCAACUUUUGUCUUAACCUGCAGUGCUCCUAUGCCCCUGUACCGGUGAGUUCUCCCUACCACAAGACAAAGCUUUCUAUGAAAAGAGGUUGAGGUGUAGUUGAACGACAUAUACUUUUGUGCUGUUUACUUCUAUUUUGAUACGUGUUUUGUUACACGCUUUAAAGUAAAGACAUAUUUUUA